UGGUUUUGAUCUUGUCUGUGGCCCUGCCUGCCUGUGAGUUAGUGAGUGAGCGAGUGACUGACUGACUGAUAUCAAGAAGUUAACUUAGUUGACAUCCAGACAGACAAGCAGAGAUGUGCAGACAUGCCUCCAGCCACCCAGACAGGCAGAGGGGGAGAAAAAAACCCGACCCAGGGACACAUACAGCUCCUCCUGCAGAAAGUCGCUCUGCCGGUUGCCGAGCACGAAGGCCAGAAAGGAAAGGAUGAGGGCGUCCAGGAUGCCGAUGAUAGCCAGGAUGUAGGCCCA